UACGUAGGGCGCAAGCGUUGUCCGGAAUUAUUGGGCGUAAAGAGCUCGUAGGCGGUUUGUCGCGUCUGGUGUGAAAACUCAAGGCUCAACCUUGAGCUUGCAUCGGGUACGGGCAGACUAGAGUGUGGUAGGGGUGACUGGAAUUCCUGGUGUAGCGGUGGAAUGCGCAGAUAUCAGGAGGAACACCGAUGGCGAAGGCAGGUCACUGGGCCACUACUGACGCUGAGGAGCGAAAGCAUGGGGAGCGAACAGGAUAGAUACCCUU
rnacentral:rRNA from 1 species